rnacentral:tRNA from 1 species
CCAUUGCUCAGUUGGUAAAGCACAAAACUCUCAACCUUGUGGAUGUGGGUUCAAGCCCCAUGAUGGG